GGUAAAUCCUGCCCAGUGAGUCAUUUAACGGCCGCGGUAUCCUGACCGUGCAAAGGUAGCAUAAUCACUUGCCUAUUAAUUGUAGGCUAGAAUGAAAGGACAAACGAGAAUACACCUGUCUCCUUUAAGCCCCUAAAAAUUUAUCUUUAAGUGAAGAAGCUUAAAUAAACGUGCAGGACAAGAAGACCCUAUAGAGCUUUACCUAUAAGCCACAUAAACAGUGGUUAGCGGUUCGGUUGGGGCGACCAGGGGAUACUAACCACCCCUAAAUUAUAAGAUCAACUAAUCCUAUCAUAGAUCCUUUAUCAAGAUCAAAGAAUCAAGCUACCUUAGGGAUAACAGGCUAAUCCUCUUAGAGAGCCCUUAUCGACAAGAGGGGUUGGCACCUCGAUGUUGGCUUAG
rnacentral:rRNA from 1 species